GCCGAAGUGGCGAAAUUGGUAGACGCGCACGCUUGAGGGGCGUGUGGGGCGACCCGUGCCGGUUCGAGUCCGGCCUUCGGCACCA
rnacentral:tRNA from 2 species